GCCAAGUUUCGUGAGUGGGCAAAGCGAGAGGAUUGCAAAUCCCCUGCCGUAAGGCUUCACAGGUUCGAAUCCUGUACUUGGCUCCA
rnacentral:tRNA from 1 species